CGAGUCGGCCGGGUGGUCGCGGCAGUCGUCGGCGAUGUCGAGCCGGAGGCUGUCGAGGAAGGUCGGGGCUCCACAGGGCAGGGUGCUGGCUAACGGCCAGUCGGGGUGACCCGCAGGACAGUGCAACAGAAAGCAGACCGCCGAUGGCCCGUCUCGACGGGCUCAGGCAAGGGUGAAACGGUGCGGUAAGAGCGCACCAGCGCUCGGGGUGACCCGGGCGGCUCGGCAAACCCCACCCGGAGCAAGGCCAAGCGUGGGACGGGCGGCCCGUCCGAUGUCCCCAGGUAGGCCGCGUAGAUGGAUGGCCACCCCCCGGCUUUGUCCGGGGACAGAACCCCGCCUACAGGCCGACUCGCCGC
rnacentral:RNase_P_RNA from 1 species